ensembl:snRNA U6 U6 spliceosomal RNA
AUGCUUGCUUUGGCAGCACAUAUACUAAAAUUGGAAUUAUACAGAGAUUAGUAUGGCCCCUGCGCAGGGAUGGCACACAAACUUGUGAAGCAUUCCAUAUUUUU